GAUCAUGGCUCAAGAUAAACGCUAGCUACAGGCUUAACACAUGCAAGUCGAGGGGCAGCAUCAUCAAAGCUUGCUUUGAUGGAUGGCGACCGGCGCACGGGUGAGUAACACGUAUCCAACCUGCCGACAACACUGGGAUAGCCUUUCGAAAGAAAGAUUAAUACCGGAUGGUAUAGUUUUCCCGCAUGGGGUGACUAUUAAAGAAUUUCGGUUGUCGAUGGGGAUGCGUUCCAUUAGG
rnacentral:rRNA from 1 species